GACGAACGCUGGCGGCGUGCUUAACACAUGCAAGUCGAACGGUGAAGCUCCAGCUGGCUGGGGUGGCACAGUGGCGAAGGGGUGAGUAACACGUGAGCAACCUGCCCCUGACUCGGGAAUAAGCGCUGGAAGCGGCGACUAAUACUGGAUACGAGAAGGGUCAGCAUGGGCACUUUCUGAAAAGUCGUUCGGUGGGGGAUGGGCUCGCGGCCUAUCAGCUGGUUGGGGAGGUAAUGGCUCACCAAGGCGACGACGGGUAGCCGGCCUGAGAGGGCGACCAGCCACACGGGGACUGAGACACGGCCCAGACUCCUACGGGAGGCAGCAGUGGGGAAUAUUGCACAAUGGGCGAAAGCCUGAUGCAGCGACGCCGCGUGAGGGAUGACGGCCUUCGUGUUGUAAACCUCAUUCAGCAGGGAAGAAGCGAAAGUGACGGUACCUGCAGAAGAAGCACCGGCUAACUACGUG
rnacentral:rRNA from 1 species